UACCGAGGGUGCCAGCGUUAAUCGGAAUUACUGGGCGUAAAGCGUGCGUAGACGGUUAUGUAAGUCGGGUGUGAAAGCCCCGGGCUCAACCUGGGAAUUGCAUUCGAGACUGUGUAGCUAGGGUACGGAAGAGGGAAGCGGAAUUUCAGGUGUAGCGGUGAAAUGCGUAGAUAUCUGAAGGAACACCAGUGGCGAAAGCGGCUUCCUGGUCCAGUACCGACGUUCAGGCACGAAAGCGUGGGGAGCAAACAGG
rnacentral:rRNA from 1 species